AUUGAACGCUGGCGGCAUGCUUUACACAUGCAAGUCGAACGGCAGCGGGUCCUUCGGGAUGCCGGCGAGUGGCGAACGGGUGAGUAAUGCAUCGGAACGUACCGUGUAAUGGGGGAUAACGUAGCGAAAGUUACGCUAAUACCGCAUACGCCCUGAGGGGGAAAGCGGGGGAUCGCAAGACCUCGCGUUAUACGAGCGGCCGAUGUCGGAUUAGCUAGUUGGUGGGGUAAAGGCCCACCAAGGCGACGAUCCGUAGCGGGUCUGAGAGGAUGAUCCGCCACACUGGGACUGAGACACGGCCCAGACUCCUACGGGAGGCAGCAGUGGGGAAUUUUGGACAAUGGGGGCAACCCUGAUCCAGCCAUGCCGCGUGCGGGAAGAAGGCCUCGGUUGUAACCG
rnacentral:rRNA from 1 species